UUUAAUCUGUUGGUAAUUAUUUUUUUCUCCAAUCUGGUUAAGUUUUUAGCAUUUUCUCAUUUUUUUUUUAAUUAAUUUUCAGUGAUUGCAAAAACAUAAUAGCAGCAGUACAGAAGGAAGUACAAAAGAAAACAUAUUUACAUGUAGCCACAUAUCCAGUAGGACUUGACAAUCUUGUGGAAGAUUUUGAAAGGUGAUGCCUUGAUGAACUUGUACAAGAUUUUGAAAACCAGUGUAGUCUUGAAGAAGAGAAGCAUAAGGCCUAAGGUUGUUGGCUUUUUUGGCAAGAUUUUGAAAACCAGUGUAGUCUUGAAGAAGAGAAGCAUAAGGCUAAGGUUGUUGGCAUUUUUGGCAUGGGUGGUUCUGGAAAGACAACUCUUGCCAAAGAAUUGUUUAACCGAAAGAGUUCGGAUUACUGUAGAGCAAGUUUUUUGUUUGAUGUGCGAGAAGCCCGUGUGAGAGGCCAAUUACCUUCUUUGCAGCUUCAGCUUCUCAAAGAUCUUUUCCAAGAUCAUCAUCUCAGUUUUACAAGUACAGAGGUAGGGACAAACUAUCUCAAAAAUCGUGUGCAAAGGAGCCCCAUUUUAAGCUUUCUAAUUGUUGUAGAUGAUAUUGAUCACGUGGAGCAAUUAAAUGCUUUAAUGAUCAUGGAUAUCUUAAAUAAAUUUGGCAAUACUCUGGUUAUUGUUACAACUCGUGAUGUAGGGUGCUUGUAACAGCAGGGAUUACUGCUGGUUAUAAUUUAAAAGGAAUGGAUAGAAAUAAUGGGAGAGAACUCUUCUGUUGGCAUGCCUUUGACCAACCCAAUUUAUCUGACGAGUACAAGAUGCUGGUUGACGCCUUUGUUGUGGGCCGGCAUGUUCAUGGCAGACCUCUCAGUUUUUGGAGGUCGGCAUUGAUUGAGGCCAAUAAGACCCUGCCACGAGAUGUAAAGCAGAGGCUGAAAAUAAGUUUUGAUGCAUCAAGUGGUGAAGAAAAACAACUUUUUAUGGAUAUUGCUUGUUUUUUUAUUGGCAAGCCAAAGAGCAUAGCUGAAAGAGUAUGGGAGGGUUCGGGAUGGAAUGCUCAAUAUGCACUGGAAACGCUCGAGGAUAAGUGCCUUGUAGAAGAGACAGAAAUUUUGAGUCUGAAUGUACAUGAGGAAUUUGUUUUCAGAAUGCAUGACCACUUAAGGGACCUGGGAAGAGAAAUGGCACUUGAGCUCAGGCCUCCUCAUCGCCUUUGGGAUCCUAGAGAUCUGAAAUAUUUGGAAUCAAUGGGUUUGAAAAGUAUCCUAGGCUAGGCAAAACCCAUGUCAGGUGUUUCCAUUCCAUAUUUGACGAGUCCAUGAGUUCUCAAGUUACAUUCUUUUUAGGUCAACCGAAUUUUUCUAUUGAGAUGUCAGCUUCCUUACUAUGGCUCGAACUUCAGGGCAAUUCCACAGAACAACCAUGCAUUCCUUCAUGGAUUUCUCUACAAAAUGUGCAAUGUUUGAAAAUCAAACGUGAACGACUCAAAACUUUGUGGGAGAAUCGUAUACAGGUAUGCUGAUUUUAUUAUUCUAAAACUAAAUCUUCUUCAACGUUAUGGUGGAAUGUAUUACUUUAUGCUGGUCUCCUGGCUAUUUUUUUAAAUCACUGAGAGUUUUACAUAAAUUUAUCCUGAACUUCAGGCGCCCUCCCAGUUGAAGGAACUGCAGAUUUCUCGAUCCUUUUUGGAGAAGAUUCCAGAUUUCUCAGGGAAAUCAGACAAUUUAGAAAAUGUUGCCUUAGAUGCCCGAGGAUGGCCAAUUCAAGGUUUAUCUUUACUAGAAUCUCUCAGUAUGAAUCUUUGUAGUAUAUGUCUAAGUCUUCCACAUUAAAAGGGGAACAGGCUUCCACUAAAAUAGAAGGGAGGACUACUUGUGAAUCUUUGGUUAUUUCGAAUUUCAAAUUUAGUGGGGAAGUGGCAUGGAACAACAGAGGAAUGUCUAGCAGUGUUAGAGCUCCUAUGGGUGGCCUUGAAAAACUAGAGAUUAGUGGUGAAGAAUUAGUAUCCAAGAUCUUAAUUAGUGGAAUUCACUAUCCAAACCUUGAGUCGAUCAAACUUCAUUGCAUGGAAAAUCUUAGGGAAGUAGAUUUAAUAAGUAUAAAGACAUUAAACUCUCUUGAUAUUACAAAUUGUAAACAUUUGAAAAUUUUGUCAGGAAUGUCAAAUCUUGCAAAUCUUGAGAUGUUGAAUAUUACUCAAUGCCCACAGCUUGAGAAGCUAAGUCUUGGCCAUCUGAGCUGUCUGGAAAGGAUCACAAUUGUAGAUUGUAAACACUUGAAAAGUGUGUCAGGAAGUUUAGAUCUCGGGAAUCUUGUCAAAUUGAAUGUUUAUGACUAUUUCAACAGUAUGUCAGGAGUAUACAGUUUUAUGACUAUUUGUGAAUGUCCGGAGCUGGAGGAGUUGCCAAGUUUUUCCAGCUCGAGCUGCUUGCAGAUUGCGUCUUGUGAAAAGUUACAGAAGAUUAUGUUGCCAACAAAACUCAUCAAGCUGUCUGUAAAAAAUUGUACAAAUUUGCAGAGAGUAGGUAGGAACCAGUGAUCUUAUAGAGUUGACAGAAUUGUACAUCAAUGAUUGUCCUGAGCUUGAGGAGUUUCCAAGUUUUUCCAGCUCGAAAUGCUUACAGAAAAUUGACAUUGCAUCUUUUGGAAAGUUUCAGAACAUUAUACUGCCAACAAAGCUCAUCUAGCUGUCUGUACAAAGUUGCAGGGAUUUGCAAAGAUUAGUAGGAACCGGUGAUCUUACAGAGCUAACAGAGUUGUGCAUUGAUGAGUGCCCUGAACUUGAGGAGUUGCCAAGUUUUUCCAGCUCGAGCUGCUUGCAGAAAAUUCGCAUCAUCUCUUGUGGAAAGUUAGAGAACAUUAUACUGCCAACAAAACUCAUCGAGUUGGCUGUUCAAAAGUGCAGGAAUUUGCAAAGAGUAGCAGGAACCAGUGAUCUUAGAGAGCUAAGGAUUUUGCACAUUUAUGAGUGUCCUAAGCUUGAGGAGUUGCCAAGUUUUUCCAGCCUGAGCUGCAUGGAGAAAAUAGACAUUACGUCUUGUGGAAAGUUACAGAACAUCAUAGUGCCAACAACACUUAUCAACCUAUUUGUAGAAAAUUGCAGAGAUUUGCAAAGAAUAUCAGGAACCAGUGAUCUUACAAAGCUUAGAACGUUGUACAUUGAGGAUUGUCCUAAGCUUGAAGAGUUGCCAAUUUUUCCCAGAGUGAGCUGCUUGGUGCGAAUUAAGAUUCACUCUUCUGAGAAGUUGGAGAACAUGGCAGGUUUUGAAGAAUUGCAUUCAACAGAGUCUCUGACACUUUGUUAUUGCAGCAAUGAAGUAAUACGAAAUCAAUUCUAAUGAUAUCGAUACUCCUUUUUAACAGGCAAUCGUAAAUCUAAUUUUGAAAGUGUGGCGCAAUAUUUUACUGUGAUUAGAAGAGCAGUGGAUGGAGCGGAGUCAAGGUUAAACGAAUAUCUGUUUUGUGAUAUUGGCACUGAUGCAGUUAUUGACAUUGGCACUGAUGGAGUCACUGACAUUGCUGCUGAAAACACUGAUGUUAAUGCAUUGAGUGCAGUUAUUAUAUGUUGUGUGGUUGUUGUGGGUAGCUCUACCUCGUUAGAGGAUAUAAAUAAAUCACUUGAGCGAUACUAAUAUCUCAAGAAUUACUCUGAGUCAAACCUUCGUCAAGGAGAAUGGAUAAUAACAAUGGCGGGAGAUGUUUCUUCUUACCUUUAUAUUACCAGGAAAAUUCCAGAUGUUAUGAGGAGUUAUGGAAUACUAAAGAAGGGGUAUCGGGUAGAGUUGAAGAAUGGGGAAGAGUGGGAAUUUUUUCCAGUGUUACGUACAAUUGUUGAUAAAUUACAUCAUUUAUGAUUGGAAUGCAUCUGCGUGUUCAUAAUUAAUGAUAUUUAUUGAUUAUUGUGUGAAG